ACACCAAUGGUGAAGCGGUUAUCAUGCUUGCCUUCCACGAAAAUUCUCACGUGACUCACGUGAUUAAAACGUGACUUGUAGCAAGCGGCAGGGGUUCGACUCCCCUUUGGUGUA